ensembl:snoRNA U8 U8 small nucleolar RNA
UUAUUAGUGAGGUCUUACCUUACCUGUGGUUCUCUAAUGGGGAACUUCAGAACAUGAUGAUUGGAUAGCUUAUGAGAUAUGAUUAUAUCUCCUUCCUGACUGUGGCCAACAACCUUCCAGGUUUCCAUUCUGAA